AAUGAACUAAACCCUCAGUGAGUCUUAUCAUUUGGCUUAUCCGCUGAAUUAUGCUGGCAAAUUGAACACUAGACAGCAACUGAAGCCCAUAAACACCUCAAAAGUGAUUUUGUGAUAUUUAAGAGCGGUUUUAUUUAGAGGCGGCGCUUGUUGGCAACAGAGUAACGUCGCAACGACACUUUUUUUUUUCAAUCCCAGUAAAAGAGUUUGAGCAGGAACAGAGUUGUGUAUAUGUAGCAGGGGGGUCCGGCUGCAUCUGGGGGGUGACUGCUGAUUUUCAGCACAUUUAUUUUAUUUUUUUCUCUUUUCUUUUCUCCUUAUUUUCCUUACUUCGCGCAAUCCGUUGCACGCCGAUAUAUCUGGACGUACAGAUUUUCGUAUAGACCAUGAACAAACUCUAUGUGGGGAAUCUGAGUCCUUCGGUGACCGUGGAGGACCUGAAGCAGCUCUUCGGCGAGAGGAAGCUUCCCGUGACCGACCAGGUCCUGCUCAAAUCCGGCUAUGCCUUCGUGGACUUCCCCGACCAGAACUGGGCGAUUAAAGCCAUCGAGACUCUAUCCGGGAAAGUUGAAUUACAUGGGAAAGUGAUCGAGGUCGACUACUCUGUUCCUAAAAAACUAAGGAGUCGGAAGAUUCAGAUCCGGAACAUUCCUCCUCAUCUCCAGUGGGAGGUUUUAGACAGCCUGUUAGCACAGUAUGGUACUGUAGAAAAUGUGGAACAAGUUAACACUGAUACAGAAACAGCAGUGGUGAAUGUGACAUAUUCAACAAAAGAAGAGGCUAAAAUAGCUGUAGAGAAGUUAACAGGACAGACGUUUGAGGAUUACUCCUUUACAGUGUCUUAUCUUUUGGAUAUGGAUGCCGCUCCGCCUCUGCCUGCAACCCGGAAUCGUCGGGGUGGAAGGACAUCACGGGAACAGGACUCCCAGCCCGGGACCUCUGGAGGCUCCCUGGGACCCCGACAGAAACAGCCAGACUUCCCCUUGCGCAUGCUGGUGCCCACGCAGUUUGUGGGAGCCAUCAUCGGCAAGGAGGGGCUCACAAUCAAAAACAUCACCAAACAGACACAGUCGAAGGUGGACAUCCAUCGUAAGGAGAACGCGGGAGCGGCGGAGAAGCCGAUCACCAUCCACUCCACUCCCGAAGGCUGCUCCGCCGCGUGCCGCAUGAUCAUGGACAUCAUGCAGAAAGAGGCUGAUGACACGAAGGUAACUGAGGAUAUUCCUCUGAAGAUCCUGGCCCACAACAGUCUGGUCGGAAGACUGAUCGGAAAGGAGGGCAGGAACCUGAAGAAGAUCGAAGAGGAGACCGAGACCAAGAUAACCAUCUCCUCUUUACAGGACUUAACUAUUUAUAACCCAGAGAGAACCAUUAUAGUGAAGGGGAGUAUUGAGGCCUGUUGUAGGGCUGAAGUGGAGAUCAUGAGAAAGCUGAGGGAAGCCUACGAGAAUGACAUUGCUGCUAUUAACCAACAAACCAACCUUAUCCCUGGGUUAAGCCUGAGUGCACUGGGCAUCUUUUCAACCGGUUUGUCAGUAUUGCCACCAGCUGCUGGGCCCAGAGGCGUCCCACCCGUACCACCAACUGGCUACAACCCUUUUCUUGGCCACUCAUCACAGCUGGGUGGGCUGUACGGUGUCCCGCCUGCUAGUGCCAUCUCUCACCAGCACACACAGGCUCCUGAACAGGAGGUGGUCUACCUCUUUAUUCCAACUCAGGCUGUCGGUGCUAUUAUUGGCAAGAAGGGCCAACAUAUUAAACAACUGGCACGAUUUGCAGGAGCCUCUAUUAAGAUUGCACCUGCAGAGAGUCCUGACGUCACUCAGAGGAUGGUCAUCAUCACUGGCCCGCCAGAAGCUCAGUUUAAGGCCCAGGGUAGGAUAUUUGGGAAACUGAAAGAAGAGAAUUUCUUUUCUGCAAAAGAAGAAGUGAAGCUGGAGACACAUAUAAAAGUGCCCUCUUCAGCAGCUGGGAGGGUCAUCGGGAAAGGCGGCAAAACGGUCAAUGAGUUGCAGAACCUAACAAGUGCAGAGGUCAUAGUGCCACGGGACCAAACCCCAGACGAGAACGACGAGGUCUUUGUCAAAAUUAGUGGGCAUUUCUUUGCCAGCCAGCCAGAAACUCGCCGCGCCUUCGAAACAAUCCAACUGAGGUGUGUAGACCAAAAAAGUUUCCCAAAAAGUAAAAUACUUGGAAAAAGUCCGCACACUCAAAAAAAUCAAAAAGUCACAGACGAGAUGAAAGCAAGUAAAAUGCUCACAAUUGCUUUCAUCUCGCCUGUGACUUUUUGAUUUUUUGAGUGUGCUGACUUUUUCAAGUAUGUUACUGAUCUGUCUGUCGGCCAGAAUGGCAGAUUCUGCAUUACGAUUGGUCAGAUCGCCUGUCAAUCAAGCUGUUUGCAAAGGACUGCACAGAGGAAAAUCAGGGAGAUCAUCCAGCAGGUGAAACAACAGGAGCAGAAGCACCAGCAAGGCGCCCCCGUGACACACCGCUCCAAGUGACCAUCAGGGCAGCCCCAGCGGGCACCUGCCAAUGAAUGUAGCCCUCCCAACUGGAAUCAGACCAGACCAGACCGGACGAAGGGGACCGGCCGGGCAGACCAGCAGCCGUGGGAUCAAAACCAAAGAACUUCUUUCUGGGGGAGAUGAAGGAGCCACAGGCAGAAGGGCUCUGAGUGCACUGCCAGCUUGGGGAGGGAGGGGGGGAAGGAAGCGCACGCAAGACAAGUGUUCCUUUUAACAUUCAGACACACCCUGAGUUUGAGAAGAAUAGGUACGGGGCGUCUGUUAUCAGGACGGGAAACAUCACGGUCGCCCCACGUAACAAUUUCUUUAUAAACUUCUUAAUUUAGGCUUAAUCUAGGGUUAACACAGAUAAGACGCUCCAUUAACACGUGUACACUGAUGCAUUUUGACUGAGUUGUGUUGCUGUUUUUUGGGGUAGGUAAAGUGUGGGUGUGCACUAGCAGUUGGCGACCAUUUUUAUUUUUUAAAACCUCAGAUUGCGAUUUCAAUGAUCCUCAGCAGUAUUCUCACCAGUACACUAGAACAAAUAUACUGUUAUAUUUGAAGCAGAACCACGAUUUUUCAUGUUUUGCACAGCCCGUCGGGCGUGUAGUGCACAUGUGCGGUCGCAUACGCAUAUAACGUUACGUUUUUCAGAUUUCUUGAUGGGACAAGAAAGUUGGGAAAUGUAAAUGACAAAACAUUUAUUCAUAUCUUAGCCUGUUUGCUUUUCGGGAUCACCCAGCUCAGCGGAUCCUUGUUACUUAGCCUGCGCGUGCCAACGGAUGCCGCUUCUUUCAUUUUUAAGCUUUUAUCAUUUAUAGCUUCGUAUUUCUGUCCAGCUCUUACACUCCCUUUUUAUUUUUACACCAGUGUUUUUGCAGCCUUUUAGUCAUUUCAUUGCCACCACAUUCUUGUGGCGGCAGUCAUUACGAGACGGAGCAGGUAUGUGGUAGAUGUGGUUUAGGAGUCAACACCCCUUUGUUUGCUUUAGGGGGUAUGAAAAGAAUAUAAAGCAAGCACCAGCGUCUGAAAGACAGCGCACCUUUACUGGCUCGGGCAGAAGCGAAAUGUGCACCAAGAACUCUGCCUUAAUCUAUGCUGAAAGGAAACGAAAAGACGGGCGACUCAAAAUGUGAUUGGAGGGUCAGGUUGAUGUGGGACGAGGAGGCACCUUAUGACCUGUGGUACACACACGACCGCGUUUGGCUUUAAAAUCUCUUUGUCAGGGAGCUUUCUAAACGGCAUGACAGCUGUGAAUGUACAAUAAGCAGCCUUUUAGAAAGAGCACCACCCUGUUCAGUAAGCCGGUUGGUCGGCGAGAUUGUUCUUGUUUUGUUUUUUUACCAAUUCUCGGGCUGUUGUGGGAAACUGAUCGACUGUUUCAACAGGACGUGCAGGCAUGGAUAUCCCUUUGUGCUUUAUUAUGUUUUUUUUUUUUUCUUCUUUUUGACCAUGGAAGCUCGUGGCCUUAAACGUCACCGGUCUAUGUCAUCGCAGACAGCUCCCUCGCCCUAUGAGAGCUAAGCCUCAUCUUCCAGACGCAAGGUUAAUGCCAAUACGCACAGCUUCCAUUUGUGUGUAUGCGUGUGUGUAUAUAGAUAUAUAUAUAAAGAGAGAGAAAUAUUUAUGAAUCUAUUUUUUUUUUCCUAUUUUGUGACGAGAGCUAUUAUUAAGAAACAAAAAAACAAAAUCUUUUUUUUUUUUUUUUUGGUGGAACACUGCCAUGUUAUUCUGAAGGGAAGUGUUUAUUUUCUUGGAAGUAGAAUAUGAAUAUCGGUAGUGUACUAACAGUAAGAACAGUAAUGAAUCACCGCAACACUUUGAUCAGAAUGUGAUCGGUGCGCAUGUCAGUAUUGUGAUCUACCUCAGGCGUCAGGGUACCUCAGUCCAAUCUUUAUUUCCCUUUUUUUUUCUCUCCCCAUAUUUUGUAUGCCUUGAAAACUGAAAGUUUUGAACAUUUUCUUUUUAAUAAUAAUAAUAAAAAGAUCAAGAAAAAGAUCUGAAGUCUUCAGGUCCAUCUGAUAAAGAAGAAUGGAUCUUAAAGCUUUCAAAACUGUAUGCGAAUUUACUUUUACCGAUCACAACCUCGUGAUUUAUCGAAUGUGUAUCUGAGGGGUACUUAACCUGCCCGAAAGGGGUUUUGAAUGUGGAUACUAUGUACUGAUGUCUAGAUCAGUGACUAAAAGACUAUGAAUUAUCAAGUAUGGCUUAAUUCAAAGCAUUCUCAAGGAGCAACUACGCAAUUAAAAGCGUAAGCCAGCUUUUACAUUUACAUUUUAUAAAAACGAGUCCAAAUUCAGGAAUUACAGUCAGACCAAAUUUUUUAAUUCACAUUUUUUUUAAAAAUCAAGGCCUUUCGCAAAACAAAACCAGGUUGAUGUGAAAAAAAAAAAAAACUGAAAAAUGAAACAGCUUUUUUCUUGAUGUAAUUCACAGAGUAACUUUUUGGUAAAAGUGUUUAUUGUAGUCACACAAAAAUCACAAAUGCAGGUAUUUUGUCUCCUCAGAUCUGCCUCAGAUCUGUUGCCGGUUGCAGUCCUUGUGCGUUACCGCUAAAACAACAAGGCCUAUGUCAAAUCAAGACGGAAGACGGUGGAAGGUCACUAUGUUAGGUCCAGGUGCGUGUACUUGCAAUGGCUGGUUUGCUUUCAUACAGUAAUUCACAUGAUUUGUCUGUGGACUGAACUGCUAGCCGUUCCACUCCAUAGUUUUAGUUCUAACGUUUAACCGUUUUCGUAAGGGGCGUGUUACUGUAGACCUGUGUAAGUCGUUUUUUUUUUA